rnacentral:rRNA from 1 species
UACGGAGGGUGCGAGCGUUGUCCGGAAUCACUGGGCGUAAAGGGCGCGUAGGUGGCGCGGGCAGUCAACGGUGAAAGUUCGGGGCUCAACCCUGAAUCGGCCGUCGAUACUCCCGUGCUGGAGCACUGUAGAGGCUAAUGGAAUUCCGGGUGUAGCGGUGGAAUGCGUAGAGAUCCGGAAGAACACCGGUGGCGAAGGCGGUUAGCUGGGCAGUUGCUGACACUGAGGCGCGGACAGCGUGGGGGAGCAAACAGGGAUUAAGAAAACCC